UUGAUCAUGGCUCAGGAUGAACGCUAGCGGCAGGCUUAACACAUGCAAGUCGAGGGGCAGCGGGGAGGAAGCUUGCUUUCUCCGUCGGCGACCGGCGCACGGGUGAGUAACACGUAUGCAACCUGCCCCUGUCAGGGGGACAACCCGCCGAAAGGCGGGCUAAACCCGCGUACAUGCCACCGGGGCAUCCCGGAGGCAGGAAAGGCUUCGGCCGGACAGGGAUGGGCAUGCGGCGCAUUAGGCAGUAGGCGGGGUAACGGCCCACCUAACCGACGAUGCGUAGGGGUUCUGAGAGGAAGGUCCCCCACACUGGUACUGAGACACGGACCAGACUCCUACGGGAGGCAGCAGUGAGGAAUAUUGGUCAAUGUCGGGAGACUGAACCAGCCAAGCCGCGUGAGGGAUGAAGGUACAGAGUAUCGUAAACCUCUUUUGUCAGGGAACAAAGGCGGGGACGUGUCCCCGGAUGAGUGUACCUGAAGAAAAAGCAUCGGCUAACUCCGUGCCAGCAGCCGCGGUAAUACGGAGGAUGCGAGCGUUAUCCGGAUUUAUUGGGUUUAAAGGGUGCGCAGGCGGUCUGUUAAGUCAGCGGUCAAAGCCCGGGGCUCAACCCCGGCCCGCCGUUGAAACUGGCAGUCUCGAGUUGGAGAGAAGUAUGCGGAAUGCGCGGUGUAGCGGUGAAAUGCAUAGAUAUCGCGCAGAACUCCGAUUGCGAAGGCAGCAUGCCGGCUCCACACUGACGCUGAGGCACGAAAGCGUGGGUAUCGAACAGGAUUAGAUACCCUGGUAGUCCACGCAGUAAACGAUGAAUGCUGGCUGUCCGGGGGGACUGACCCCUGGGUGGCGAAGCGAAAGCGAUAAGCAUUCCACCUGGGGAGUACGCCGGCAACGGUGAAACUCAAAGGAAUUGACGGGGGCCCGCACAAGCGGAGGAACAUGUGGUUUAAUUCGAUGAUACGCGAGGAACCUUACCCGGGCUCAAACGGGGAGUGACUCAGGCAGAGACGCCUGUUUCCCACGGGACACUCCCCGAGGUGCUGCAUGGUUGUCGUCAGCUCGUGCCGUGAGGUGUCGGCUUAAGUGCCAUAACGAGCGCAACCCCCGCGUGCAGUUGCUAACAGUCAACGCUGAGGACUCUGCACGGACUGCCGGCGCAAGCCGCGAGGAAGGCGGGGAUGACGUCAAAUCAGCACGGCCCUUACGUCCGGGGCGACACACGUGUUACAAUGGGUGGUACAGCGGGAAGCCAGGCGGCGACGCCGAGCGGAACCCGAAAUCCACUCUCAGUUCGGAUCGGAGUCUGCAACCCGACUCCGUGAAGCUGGAUUCGCUAGUAAUCGCGCAUCAGCCAUGGCGCGGUGAAUACGUUCCCGGGUCUUGUACACACCGCCCGUCAAGCCAUGGGAGCCGAGGGCGCUUGAAGUGCGUCGCCGCGAGGCGCGCCCUAGAGCGAAAUCGGUGACUGGGGCUAAGUCGUAACAAGGUAACCGU
rnacentral:rRNA from 1 species